rnacentral:misc_RNA from 1 species
AAUGUUAAUGGGUUAAAUAAUCCAAUUAAAAGGACUAAGAUAAUUUUGAAAAUGAGAAAACUUAAGGCUCAAGUUAUCUUCAUGCAGGAAACACACCUUUCCCAGGAAGAGCAUGAAAAGCUGAAGAAAUUUGGUUUUAGAAACACCUAUUACAGUACUUGUAAACAAAGGAACAAAAGAGGUGUGGCAAUACUUAUACAAAACUCAACUAAAUUUGAAUGUCUAAAAGAAAUCAAGGAUACAGAAGGACAAUAUAUUAUAGUGAAGGGGAAACUAGAGGAAGAGAUGGUUACGUUAAUUAAUGUAUAUGCCCCUCCAGAGAGUACUAAACAAUUCUUUAAAUCAUUAUUCCCAGUCAUGGCCUUAAAAUCUGAAGGUAUAGUGAUAUGUGCUGGUGAUUUUAAUAUGAUAAUGGAUCAUAGGGUAGACACAACAAGUAUAAAAAGAAAUAAGACACAUAUAUCUAAAUUUGUAAACAUGUCGUUGAAGGAACAUGGACUGGUUGAUGUAUGGCGUGAACUGCA